GCUGGCGGUGCGCCUUAUGCAUGCAAGUCGAGCGAAGCUUUUCAGUAGUUUACUACAGAAAAUGACUGAGCGGCGAACGGGUGAGUAACGCGUGAGCAACCUACCUUAGUUACUGGGAUAGCCCGAGGAAACUCGGAUUAAUACCGGAUAUUCUUAUUUAAUCACAUGAUUAUUUAAGGAAAGGUCAGCCGAACUAAGAUGGGCUCGCGUUCUAUCAGCUAGUUGGUAGGGUAAUGGCCUACCAAGGCUACGACGGAUAGCUGGUCUGAGAGGACGAUCAGCCACACUGGGACUGAGACACGGCCCAGACUCCUACGGGAGGCUGCAGCAGGGAAUAUUGCGCAAUGAGCGAAAGCUUGACGCAGCGACACCGCGUGUGGGAUGACGGAUCUAGGUUUGUAAACCACUUUCAGGAGGGAAGAAAAUGACGGUACCUCCACAAGAAGCCCCGGCCAA
rnacentral:rRNA from 1 species